rnacentral:rRNA from 1 species
AUUGAACGCUGGCGGCAUGCCUUACACAUGCAAGUCGAACGGCAGCACGGGAGCAAUCCUGGUGGCGAGUGGCGAACGGGUGAGUAAAGUAUCGGAACGUGCCCAGUCGUGGGGGAUAACGUAGCGAAAGUUACGCUAAUACCGCAUACGAUCUAUGGAUGAAAGCGGGGGAUCGCAAGACCUCGCGCGAUUGGAGCGGCCGAUAUCAGAUUAGGUAGUUGGUGGGGUAAAGGCUCACCAAGCCGACGAUCUGUAGCUGGUCUGAGAGGACGACCAGCCAAACUGGGACUGAGACACGGCCCAGACUCCUACGGGAGGCAGAAGUGGGGAAUUUUGGACAAUGGGCGAAAGCCUGAUCCAGCCAUGCCGCGUGCAGGAUGAAGGCCUUCGGGUUGUAAACUGCUUUUGUACGGAACGAAAAGGUUUGGCCUAAUAAGCUGAGCUCAUGACGGUACCGUAGAAUAAGCACCGGCUAACUACGUGCCAGCAGCCGCCGUAA